rnacentral:rRNA from 1 species
GAUGAACGCUGGCGGCGUGCCUAAUACAUGCAAGUCGAGCGAACGGACGAGAAGCUUGCUUCUCUGAUGUUAGCGGCGGACGGGUGAGUAACACGUGGAUAACCUACCUAAAAGACUGGGAUAACUUCGGGAAACCGGAGCUAAUACCGGAUAAUAUUUUGAACCGCAUGGUUCAAAAGUGAAAGACGGUCUUGCUGUCACUUAUAGAUGGAUCCGCGCUGCAUUAGCUAGUUGGUAAGGUAACGGCUUACCAAGGCAACGAUGCAUAGCCGACCUGAGAGGGUGAUCGGCCACACUGGAACUGGGACACGGUCCAGACUCCUACGGGAGGCAGCAGUAGGGAAUCUUCCGCAAUGGGCGAAAGCCUGACGGAGCAACGCCGCGUGAGUGAUGAAGGUCUUCGGAUCGUAAAACUCUGUUAUUAGGGAAGAACAUAUGUGUAAGUAACUGUGCACAUCUUGACGGUACCUAAUCAGAAAGCCACGGCUAACUACGUG